UAGGGAAUCUUCGGCAAUGGGGGGAACCCUGACCGAGCAACGCCGCGUGAGUGAAGAAGGUUUUCGGAUCGUAAAGCUCUGUUGUUAAGGAAGAACGAGUGUGAGAAUGGAAAGUUCAUGCUGUGACGGUACUUAACCAGAAAGGGACGGCUAACUACGUGCCAGCAGCCGCGGUAAUACGUAGGUCCCGAGCGUUGUCCGGAUUUAUUGGGCGUAAAGCGAGCGCAGGCGGUUAGAAAAGUCUGAAGUGAAAGGCAGUGGCUCAACCAUUGUAGGCUUUGGAAACUGGUUGACUUGAGUGCAGAAGAGGAGAGUGGAAUUCCAUGUGUAGCGGUGAAAUGCGUAGAUAUAUGGAGGAACACCAGUGGCGAAGGCGACUCUCUGGUCUGUAACUGACGCUGAGGUUCGAAAGCGUGGGUAGCAAACAGG
rnacentral:rRNA from 1 species